GAAAGGCAACUUAAUUGUGCAACACAGUACCAAAUCUAUUUUUGAGAGAUCCCAAGACUUGUUCAACUUUGUCAAAGCUGUGUUGUAGCUGUCUUGUAUGAAUUUAUCAGGUUCAAUUUUUAGCUUGUCCUUGAAAAAAAGUUAGAAACUAUAAAACAGGGGCACAUAUGAUGGUAAUAAAAAAUUGCAAAAUAGAAUUCAAAUCUCACAGUGAGAACAGUAGAUAAAGCAAAUUUCUUAACGAUGUUAUUGUCCUUCUCACGCAAUUCAGCUUCUUCAAUGUUGAAUUCAUAGGACCAUAAAAUCACCACGUGGUUAUUAAUUUCCCCCCUUUGCUUCAAGGAUCCAUAGAAUUCAUCAUAAGUAACAUGGAAGCCAUCAAUUCGAACAAAUGGUGGGCUGGGAUAAAAAAACUAAAUUAGGAUUUGAAACAUUUAACUACACGUACUAAAACAUGUGAAACAUACAGAAGGAACAUUGGGGGGAAAAAUGUACUGCUAUAACAUGAGUACUACAUGCUUGAAACAUCUAACUACACCUACUGAAACAUGUGAAACAUACAGAAGGAACAUUGGGAAAAAAUGAACUGCUGUAACAUGAGUACUACAUACUUGAAACAUCUAACUACUCCUAAUGAAACAUGUGAAACAUACAUAAGGAACAUUGGGAAAAAAUUGAACUGCUGUAACAUGAGUACAACAUACUUGAAACAUCUAACUAGACCUACUGAAACAUGUGAAACAUACAGAAGAAACAUCGAGAAAGACAUAAAGAGUUGAUCACGGUUGUUCUUGUUCAUCAUUAUUCGCAUUUGGAUUGAUUGGCACUUUCUUCAUUAUCCUCUUGUUGAGAUACUUGUUAUAUGCAGUAACAAUUUCAUCAUCUAACUUAAUUCUCUUCAAUUUCUUUCCUUGGUUCAGAUGGAUGGCAGCCCUCUUCCUCCUGUUUUUCUUGUCAAAUGUACUUGACCCAGGCUUGUUAACAAUAGUCUCAUCAAUGGUGAGAUCAACUGCAAACACAAGAAUAACAAAAUACUCAAAUAUGUGUAAGAAAACAGGAUUGAAAAUGGAGACAAAAAAAGGUAAAGAAAAGUGACCCAAAGUAGAUGCUGCUGCCGCUGGGGUCAAACAAUCU
rnacentral:lncRNA from 1 species